rfam:Macaca mulatta chromosome X, whole genome shotgun sequence.
AACUUCUACCUGGUGUGAGCAAUUUUCUUUCAUUAGGGAGAAGGAGCGAGGAAGGUACCAAACAGCAGCAGACUUUUGAACUUGAGACAGUUUUGGCUGCUUCAACUUAACUUUUUUCAUUUUACUUAGUCCCUCAAUGAGUACAAUCAUUUGGCAUGCCUACUUCACUUUUUUUAAGAGAACUAACAGCGAACAGGCAAC